CGGAAAGAAAGAGAAAGUUUAUACCAAACAUAAAAAUUUAAAGUUUUUUCCUUUCUCUUCCAUUCUUUUCUUUUCUCUUCACUUCCUUUCUCUCCCAUUUCUUUCCUUUACUAAAAAUGAACCAAACACAAUGUUACUAAAAAUAACCAAACACACUGUAAGCGAAGAUGGUGUUGUCCCAAACUCCCAAUUAUGGGAGGCCAUAUCCGGUGCUCUUCAGCAGAUGAACGAUGAAACUUUCUUCGACGCUAAGGUAGCCUAUCAAUGUCUUGAUCAGAUUACUGUUGCACUGUUGAAGGCCCAGUUUAAAGAUACAAUUGCACACGCUUUCAUUGCUGAUAUCAGGAGAUCUCUUGAUUUCGAUCAUCUUCCUCAUCAAAGCCGCUAAAUUUUUCAUCAGGAAUGGGAACAAAGGUGCAGAACGAGAAUUACUUGCCUGCACAUUGCUCAAUGAAAGACCUUAAUUGUGAAUCUAAUGGUGCUAGUUGGUCUUCUUGUUUUGGCAAGAGCAAUUUAUCCAAAGGACAAUUUUAUCAUGGUUUGCUGCCUAGGACUGUUGCUGAUACACAGACAGGAUACGACAAAGUUGUUGUAAAGCAAACAAUGAUUGGACACGAAAGCAUAUUGAAGAAUCAGGUCUAUGAACUACAUCGACUAUACAGAGUAUAAGGAGAUCUGAUGGAUGAGGUUAGGAGGAAAGAACAAUUUAAACAGCGAAUUCCCUAUGAAACAUCAUCUUCUUCAAACAUCCCAAAUGCAACGAGGAUGUGCAAAGAUGGAAGGGUCCAAAUUUUCCUUUGUCAAAUUCGUUUUGUGGUAGACCUCCCAUUACAGUUCCCUAUACCUCCAGUCUUCAGUCUUCACCAUAUUCUGCUUAAGGAAAGAGCGUACAAGCUGGGCCAAGUUGAUCCAUAAAUUGCUAUAGCCCAGGCCCCAGAGAAUUCCAAGUAAGAGUCCAGAUCCACAAAACUUAGAAGACGAAUGCUCGAUCUGCAACUCCCAGCUGACCGAUAUAUUGACACAGAUGAAGCGGAGCAACUCAAUGAUGUAAAAGAUUCUGACGAUACGAGUCCAUCCCCUGAUCUUCAUGUCAGUAAACCUUGGGCUCUGGCAGACUUGAAUUAGCCUCUACAUGUGGAAGAAGCAACCUUUGUCUCAUCUGUUGACUUCUUGCGUCGUGGUGGCAGUAACUGUGACAUUCAGCACAGGGAUCUCUCUACAAGAGUCUUGAGUUCAUCGAGGGCUGCAUGAAUGGGGCUCUGAACAAUGGGAACUUUAAAAAUAGAGCUAAUGUCCCAGACUGGUUUAGUUAUGCAUUAAAAGCAGGUAAUAAUGGACCAUUGUGGUUUCCCCUGCAUUGGGCAUUCAUGAUCUCUUCUACAACUUCACUUUUAGUGGUUAAUUCUUGUGUCUUGUUUUUUUUGACUUUCUUUUAGGCUCCGUUUGGUAGGACAUAAAAUAUUUUCAGUGUAAAAUGAUUUUCAUGGAAAACACAAUUCCUAAAUUAGUUUUUCGUUGUUUGGUUUUAUGUAAGAAAAAUGAUGAAAUGAAAGGAAACUGAAAGGGAAAGUAAGGAGGUAGUGAGAGGAAUGUACAAGAGAGAUAAGGAAAACAGUUUUCCCUUCAUUAUGAAGGGAAAAUAGUUUUCUAUCAUUGGGAAAGUAAUUUUAUCCCAAGGGAAAAUGAUUUUACAUUCUUUUGCCAGCCAAACAAUGUAAAACUGAAAAUAGAGGAAAACAGUUUUCCGGGAAAAUGUUUUACGUCCUACUAAACAGAGCCUUAAUGUAACAAGAUAGUUGUUUCUGCUAUUGAUCAUUAGUUCUGUGUUUAUUUUUGAGAACAUAAAGGCAGCAUGAGUUCUUAUUUUUCCAGGAUAUAUAUUAAGGGGAUAUUUGGUAUAA